UACGAAGGGGGCGAGCGUUGUUCGGAGUUACUGGGCGUAAAGGGCGCGCAGGCGGCUCUGAAAGUCAGAUGUGAAAGCCCCGGGCUUAACCUGGGAAUUGCAUUUGAUACUCUGGAGCUUGAGUACGGGAGAGGAGAGUGGAAUUCCCAGUGUAGAGGUGAAAUUCGUAGAUAUUGGGAAGAACACCGGUGGCGAAGGCGGCUCUCUGGACCGUAACUGACGCUGAGGCGCGAAAGCGUGGGGAGCAAACAGG
rnacentral:rRNA from 1 species